rnacentral:pre_miRNA from 1 species
UAUAAUUGGACUUUAUGUUCAACUUUGAUCGUCUGUUUUAUUUAAAUUUAAAUUUUUUUAUGAUUAGCAUUUUUAUUGUUAUUAUAUGAUGAAAUAUGAAUAGCUUAUAUUUUUUAUUUUUUUAAAAAAAUAUAAUUAAGACGAACUAUUAAAGUUGAACACGGAAACUUAUUGCUGCACUUAAA